CUGGCUGACAGCAACAAGCUUAUAUUGUAUGGAAUAACUAAUCCAGGUGAUACUGACUGUACAAUCUUUCAAGGAGAGAUUGUCUAGCGCUUUGUCAAAACUGUGCCAGCCAAAUUCAGAGCCGAUGCCGGAGAUUUCCGUGGAGGGAGGGAAGCGGUGUGGAGCAGAUGUGAACAGCACAUCUACCUCAAACUGACUCAUACCACAGUUUCCAUGAGUCCAGUGGUCAAUAAAGGUGGUAUGAUGUUUAA